CUUUCUGACGUCCUAAAAGGAAUCAAAGUUAUCAAAACUACAGUUGAAAAAAGGUUAAAAGAGAGGAGCACACAUCAAGCAACAGAAGUUCUACUUCUAGCGCUGAGACAAGCAUCAAUCGAAUCCCAUUAUCAUCAAGAACUUAUAGUUUUGGAUCUUAUGAAGUUUUGGGCUUCAAUAAUGAGGCAGAUGCAGUUAUUAAUCUACUCAAAAGAGGAUCAAAUGAGCUUUCGAUUGUCUCCAUAGUCGGCAUGCCUGGAGUAGGUAAGACAACACUUGCGAGGAUAGCAUACAAUGAUCCUUCGGUUCAAUUGCACUUUCAUAAACUUGCAUGGUGCCUUGUUUUUGAAACAUACAGAAGUAGGGACUUGUUGCUUGACAUUGUCAACUGCAUUACUUCAGUUGAAGAUGUAGAUCUAUAUGAUAUGAGUGAUGAAGAUUUAACAGAUCUAAUCAGGAAAAGUUUAUUGCGACAGAGAUACCUUGUUGUUAUAGAUGAUAUCUAGGAGAUGGGAGCUUGGGAUUCUAUUAGACAGUCACUUCCAAGAGAUCGAAAUGGCAGCAGAAUUGUCUUAACAAGUCAAAAUCAUAAUCUAGCUUUGCAAACUGGUCUUGCUUACAAUACUCAUCUUCUUUCUCCAUUCACUGAUGAAAAAAGCUGGAAAUAUUUGGAAGAAAUGCUAUUCCACACCCACGGUUGCCCUGACAAUCUAUUAGAUGUUGCAAAGAAAAUUGCAAGGAAAUGUAAAGGACUACUUCUGGCGAUUGUUGCAAUUCUGGCUCUCCUUCAAAAGGAAGAGAGGAAUCUUGAUUUUUGGGGACGAAUUGAAGAAAACUCAAAUCCAGGCAUUGCUAGCAAAGGGUACAGGGAUAUUCUAGAACGAAGCUACAAGCAUUUACCUGACCAUUUGAAGCCUUGCUUUCUAUAUUUUGGUGCCUUUCAAGCUGGUAAGGCAAUUAGUGCCCAAAAGUUGACAUUGUUAUGGGUUGCAGAAGGAUUCAUACGAACAACUGCAAUGGGGAGCAUGGAGAGCUUAGAAGUUUUGGCAAAAGACUACUUGAUGGAGCUCAUCAAUCGUAGCUUUGUAGAUGUCACUGAAAGAAGUUCUGAUGGUGGGAUAAAGCAUACCGACUUAAUGAUCUAUAACACGAUUUCUGCCUGGAAAAAGCUCAAGAAGACAAGUUCUUGCACAUUGAUUGGUCUGAUAUUUCUCAUGGCUUCUCAAGUCGAGCAAAGCAUUACCCUUACCGGUUAAGCAUUCAUUCUAAAUGGGAAACUUUCGGUAAGCCAAAGCCUGUUGGUCAAUAUCUCUACUCACUAUUGGUCUCUUCUGAAAUUAGAAGGAAUCAAUCCUAUUUAAAAUCCGUUGCCUUUCAGUAUUUUCAUAGCUUUAAACUCCUUCACAUCUUGAAUUUGGAAGGCAUCUACUUGGAUUUAUCUUUUCCUGAAGUAAUCAUAUCAAUGGUUCAUUUAAGAUACUUAGCAAUCCAAGGUAGUUUUACGGCAAUUCCAUUAUCAAUAGCCAAUCUUUGGAAUCUAAGAAGCAUUGCUGUGAAAGGAUUACAACCCUUGAUUUGUUUACCAGAAACAGUUUGGACGAUGAGAAAUUUGAAACAUGUGCAUGUAAGUGAAAAUGCUGUUAUCUCUCUGGAUGAUCUUGAGCUUGAGUAUUCAUCUAUGUUAGUGAAUAACAUGAAAACCUUUUCCACAUUAGCUCUUCAUCAUGUAGCAGAUCCUGAGAAGGUGUUAAGAAGGUUAAGUGGACUUUAGAAGCUCAAAUGUAUUGUUUCAUUAUCACAGCUGUGUUGUGAUAACGAGAAUCAGUUUCCAGCUUUGGCCUACCUAGAAAAUCUCCAGGCACUAACAUUGUAUACUCUCGGUUAUGAAGGUCUAGCGUCUUGCAGUUGGAUACAGAAUCAAUUUCACACAUUUGCUUUUCCCUCAACUCUUAAGAAACUGACCGUGUAUAAAUUGGGACUACCUUGGAGGGCAAUGUCAAUAAUCAGGCAGCUACCCAAACUCGAGGUUCUCAAAUUACGAGAAGAAACUUUUAGGGGUAAAAGAUGGGACAUGACACCGGAAGAGGAGGAAUUUUGUAACCUCAAAUACUUGGAACUGUCAAAUUUAAACCUUCGACAAUGGUCUGUCGCCUAUGAUCCCUUCCCAUGCCUUGAACAACUUCUUAUGGGAGAUUGUUAUAGAUUCGUGGAGAUCCCCUAUUGUUUUGAAAGAGUUACAACCCUGCAGAUGAUUGAGUUGUGUCGAUGCAGCGAUAGAGUCAAAAGCUUGGCUGAGGUGAUUCUCAAAAAACAACGGGACUGGGGCAACUAUGAACUUGAACUUCUGAUCUCAGAUUCAUAGAAGAUGCUUGAAAUGGAAAUUCUCAGCCGAAGGUCCAGUUUGAUAAAACAAAACUUGUAAGAAACAUUUCUUCUUGUUCCAAUUCCAGAGCUGAGUGGCUCUGUUGAUUCAGGCAAUGGCAGGUGAGGCGCUGAAAAAUGAAACUAAAGUGGCAAAUCCAAAAAGUUAGUUUCCUAUUGAACAUGUAUGGUUCUGUUUUGGGCCUUUCCAAUCAUGCUUAACUUCUAUGAAGAGGCUAAUACAGAGCCUAAUACCAUUCAAAUUCAAGAACGGUUCCACAAGAAUAAGAUUGAAGACUUACAAAGAGCCCCUAACACCAUUGAAUUCAAUAUUUUAUGACAGUUCUUGAAUUGAGUGAUAUUAGCCAUUAUGGGCUCUCAGUAGUUUUUUAACUUCUGCUGAUCUUGAUUUGUUUUUUGAAGGUUGUUUUUAUCAAGAUGUGCUAAAAUUAAAGAAAAAAAAAUUAUAGCAGGAGAUCAACUUUUGGUACCAUAAUUUCAUAACAAGACUUGUUUAGUGACAAGUCUUCUCCAUUAUUAUGUAGAGUUAUAAAGCUCAAAAUUUAUGAUUGAAUGGAGCAAAAGAUGUUUGUUUGAACA